rnacentral:rRNA from 1 species
UACGGGGGGGGUAAGCGUUGUUCGGAAUUACUGGGCGUAAAGGGCUCGUAGGCGGCCAACUAAGUCAGACGUGAAAUCCCUCAGCUUAACUGGGGAACUGCGUCUGAUACUGGAUGGCUUGGAUUCGGGAGAGGAAUGCGGAAUUCCCGGUGUAGCGGUGAAAUGCGUAGAUAUCAGGAGGAACACCGGUGGCGAAGGCGGGUCUCUGGGCCGAUAUCGACGCUGAGGAGCGAAAGCGUGGGGAGCGAACAGG